rnacentral:RNase_P_RNA from 17 species
GUGGCGCAACGGAUAGCUGCUUGGGAAACCAAGAGGAAAGUCCGAGCUGCAGUGAGGCAGGGUUCCACCUAACCGGUGGCCAGCGAAGCCCUUUGGGAUAAGCUGAGGGAAAGUGCAACAGAAAGCAGACCGCCGAUGGCCUUUUGGCACAGGCAAGGGUGAAAGGGUGAGGUAAGAGCUCACCGCUUCUGUGGCAACACAGAAGGCAGUGUAAACCCAACCCGCAGCAAGUCGCACCUGGUUAAAGCCUCACAUUUUUGAGUGCGACGCUAGAGCUUAGUGGUGACACUAAGCGUAGAUAAAUAGCUAUCCACGACAGAACUCGGCUUACAGUUGCGCCACCUCU